ACUUUUCGAAAAUAGGAAUUAACAGAAACAACAAUGAUAAAUGGAAAUGCAGUGGGUCAUUCAAAAACCAUGUAAUUCAGACAAAUAUUAAAAGCGAGAACUACCAUCACUAAGAUGUGGAAAUCUCUUAAAUGGUGAGCUGCUGUCACGACUAAUUCCGCUGUCAUGAAGAUGAUGAACACUUCUUCUUUGAAGCGCUAUAGGGGUACGGGGUGUUGAAGUGAGAUGAUCAUGUGAAGAACUUCGGUGUUCAAGGAAGGUAUCUAUGGGUUUUCGGGGUGUGAAAUAUUCAAUAGAUGCGGUUGUGGGACCACGAGUAGU